GCGAAGGUGGCGGAACUGGCAGACGCACCAGAUUCAGGUUCUGGCGCCAGCAAUGGCGUGGAGGUUCAAGUCCUCUCCUUCGCACCA
rnacentral:tRNA from 1 species